UAGAAAAACAGGCCUCGAACCUGCACCACAGAGCCCAAAACUCCAUGUACAACCACUAUACUAUUUCCU
rnacentral:tRNA from 1 species